GGAUCUGGGCUCUGCUAUGUAUAUGUUUAAAAGUCUAAUUCCAUCAGUUAUUAAUUUGUCUCUCUCCCACACGUUUUUGGAAAUGUGAUGAAUGUUUCUUACAGUUCCUUCCUGAAGUUUUCUUGCUGUAGGAAAUAACUAGUUCUCUCUUGUUUGGUUAUUACAGAUUGCUAUUCUAACUUCUGUACAAUCAAAGACCCAAGACCAGCUUUGGAGAGUUUUCCUGAGUAAAUCAAAUCAUCCUCAUAGAGCAACAAAGAAGAUGCUCCACUCUGGACCUACAUGUAUUGUGACCUCGGGGACAGGCCAGGAAAAAUUCUGUAAAUGGAACAAGACCAUCACCUUCCAUUGCAGGGCACAUGAUUGAAGGAGAAAAGUGUGCUGUCAAAGCAGGGAGACCUGUUCAGUUUAUUUACUCUCUUUCAGCUGCUUAUUUU
rnacentral:lncRNA from 1 species